GGCGAAGUCUACAAUCACUACCCAGAUGCAAGAGGAAGCAAGAUGAAAAUGCUGAACUGAGAAAAGAACAGAGUGAAGGUGGUCAAGAAGAUGGAGUUUUGUUACUUGACAUCCACCAAGUAGAACCAUUGCACAGAUCCAUCCCCAAGUAAUCUGUGUAAUGUGAGGAGCCAACUUGCAAGCACAUCUGGAUACCAGCACAGUUCCUGUGUGACACAGAGAGGCUGCAGCUGAGCAGAGAUCCAGCGGUGCAGGGACAGACAUGCUCAUGUGAUCCAGAGAGGAGAGAAGACCAGGGAAGAGCAGUGUGUAAUCCUGAUAAGAGUCUGCAUGGGCUAACAACCAAUCACCAUUCUAAAACACUGAUUAUAUUUUAAUUACAAUUGUUUCUCAUAUUAAUUAUAUGCAUUAGUGGGUUUCACUAUGGCAUUUCUGGACAGGUACAUAUUGUUCUCUGACUACAAAGCCCUCUCUGGAACUUCUUUUGCCCUCCCUCUGUCCUCCGUGUCACCUUAAUAUUACGUCGUCUUCUAGUUUUCCUUUCUUUAAGUAGUAUGUUUAUUUCCAUGUCAAGUAAUUGCUGAGCAUUUGACAGGUGUGUGACUAUGUCAUAGAAUUCUUUCCGCACAGGGGCUAGAGAGAUGGCUCAGUGGAUAGAGUGCUUGCCUCCCAAGAGUGAGGACCAGGGUACAGAUUCCCUGAAUCCAGGUAAAAGCUGUGCACGCAUGGUCAUUAUCUGCAAUCCCAGCAGUUAAGAGCUCCCUGGAUAAGUCAAAAUCGCCAGAGAUGGUGAGUUCUGCCUCAGAAAAAUAAAGUGAAGAGUGGGUGAAGAAGACAGUCCACAUCAAUUUUGUGCCUUUACACGCACACCUGUGCCCACACGCGUGAACACACAUGCUCGCCCCACAGGACAGGAAAACCUGAACAUAGAUGCUGGUUUAUCUUCUAAAACCCCAUGACCUGGUUGUUAUUGACCUUUAACAGGAG